AACCAGGAGGAGGAGGAAAUCAAAUGUCCUUCACAAGUGGAACUGGCUGAGUAGUGGUCCCAGGUGCAUUAAUUUGCAGUUCAUCUGCCCAAGCACAGGCCAAAAGAAAGCCUUCCCACAGAGAGUCCCAAGUUCAUGUGGCAGGACACCAGAGGUAUGUAGUGGAACAGUAGGUGCUGAAGCAACAAUUACCUCAUGAAAACUACAGAUCUCACUCA
rnacentral:lncRNA from 10 species